AAUCCAUAGGUUAAUGAGGCGAACCGGGGGAACUGAAACAUCUAAGUACCCCGAGGAAAAGAAAUCAACCGAGAUUCCCCCAGUAGCGGCGAGCGAACGGGGAGGAGCCCAGAGCCUGAAUCAGCAUGUGUGUUAGUGGAAGCGUCUGGAAAGGCGCGCGAUACAGGGUGACAGCCCCGUACACAAAAGCGCAUGUGCUGUGAGCUCGAUGAGUAGGGCGGGACACGUGGUAUCCUGUCUGAAUAUGGGGGGACCAUCCUCCAAGGCUAAAUACUCCUGACUGACCGAUAGUGAACCAGUACCGUGAGGGAAAGGCGAAAAGAACCCCGGCGAGGGGAGUGAAAAAGAACCUGAAACCGUGUACGUACAAGCAGUGGGAGCACCCUUCGGGGUGUGACUGCGUACCUUUUGUAUAAUGGGUCAGCGACUUAUAUUCUGUAGCAAGGUUAACCGUAUAGGGGAGCCGUAGGGAAACCGAGUCUUAACCGGGCGUUAAGUUGCAGGGUAUAGACCCGAAACCCGGUGAUCUAGCCAUGGGCAGGUUGAAGGUUGGGUAACACUAACUGGAGGACCGAACCGACUAAUGUUGAAAAAUUAGCGGAUGACCUGUGGCUGGGGGUGAAAGGCCAAUCAAACCGGGAGAUAGCUGGUUCUCCCCGAAAGCUAUUUAGGUAGCGCCUCGUGAAUUCAUCUCCGGGGGUAGAGCACUGUUUCGGCUAGGGGGCCAUCCCGGCUUACCAACCCGAUGCAAACUGCGAAUACCGGAGAAUGUUAUCACGGGAGACACACGGCGGGUGCUAACGUCCGUCGUGAAGAGGGAAACAACCCAGACCGCCAGCUAAGGUCCCAAAGUCAUGGUUAAGUGGGAAACGAUGUGGGAAGGCCCAGACAGCCAGGAUGUUGGCUUAGAAGCAGCCAUCAUUUAAAGAAAGCGUAAUAGCUCACUGGUCGAGUCGGCCUGCGCGGAAGAUGUAACGGGGCUAAACCAUGCAC
rnacentral:rRNA from 1 species